GUUAGGAAUAUUGGACAAUGGGCGCAAGCCUGAUCCAGCCAUGCCGCGUGAGUGAUGAAGGCCUUCGGGUUGUAAAGCUCUUUAGUCCACGAAUAUAAUGACUGUAGUGGAAGAAUAAGCCCCGGCUAACUUCGUGCCAGCAGCCGCGGUAAUACGAAGGGGGCGAGCGUUAUUCGGAAUCACUGGGCGUAAAGCGUGCGUAGGCUGUUUUGUAAGUCAGAAGUGAAAGCCCAGGGCUUAACCCUGGAAUUGCUUUUGAAACUACAAGACUCGAAUUCGGGAGAGGAUAGCGGAAUUGUCAGUGUAGCAGUGAAAUGCGUAGAUAUUGACAGGAACACCAGUGGCGCAAGCGGCUAUCUGGACGAGUAUUGACGCUGAGGCACGAAAGCGUGGGGAUCAAACAGGAUUAGAUACCCGAGUAGUCC
rnacentral:rRNA from 1 species